rnacentral:lncRNA from 1 species
GCAGUGCUGUCUGUGGCUCUUUCUACCCAGUCUCUCCUUCUACAGAUGCCAGACCCACACCGACGGAGUGAUAGCAAUGCCUGCGGCACUGAGCUGUGGUCAGGACGCAAUGUAACCUGCUCAGAACAUGCGGGGAGCACAGCCUAAGUGGAAGAGCUGGGACAGUCACCACCGACCACAUCCACUCAUGGAUAGUUUUAGCCAAAGGAGGUAUUUCUCUUGCACUGUAAGCCAAUUUCAGCCAGGCCACCAAAAUUGCCUCCCUCAGAAGCAAAUAUCUGCAGAAGAUCCAAGAAAAUUUGCUCAAGGGUUAGCUCCCACCUUUGCUCCAAGAGACACUGGCUCCACUGCUGAAUGAACAAAUUGUGCAGCUCAGCCUACGUUAGGCUGUAUGCUCACAUCUCCUCCUCUGGAUCUUGGUUCCCCGGCAGAUGAGUGCAACUAGGCCCUGGGGUCCUUCCCAGCUGCAGCAUUCUAGGAUGAGGACGGAGCACUGGCCUCUGUCUGUGGCCUCAGAGGCAGCCAGCUGCCUCUCCCACCCACUCUGUUGUGUCCUGGGUGUGUGAAGGGGCUGCGCUUAGCUGCGUCUUCUUUUGUCUGGAGAUGACAGUCCACAGACCAGGAAGGAAGGGUGGGAAUGACGGUUUGCAGAGGGAAGGCGAGGGGAGCUAUUUCCACCUACUUUGGCCUGGACUGCCCCAUGCUGCACGUCUCCUGGGAUUUCCAUAGCCGAAGUAUCUCCCACUUACCACAUGGGCCAGCUCCCUGUCUUCCAAGCUUCCAUUUCUACAGCCUCAGUUACUGGAGGCUUUUGUCUACCCAAGCCUGGGGAACUGCUAUUCAUGAAAAUGGCAGUAUUCAUUGUUUUUGAAGAUGUCUAAGUCCCAGAAAACAUAAGAAGGUUCGAGAUGGCUUUUAAUAUGAAGGAGAGCGGUCUUCAUUUUUUUUCUGGUGAAAGGAACACUUUUUAAUGAAAACUCAAGUUAAUGUUAAAUGACAAAUGUCAUAGAGCCAGCCACGAGUCUUUCUAACUUUGUUGUGGCCAUAAAUGACAGACAUGUGCAAUCAAGUCCCCAGGUCAACAGAGGGACAGAUUGCUGGCAGAACCACCCUCAGCAGGUUGGUUCUGUAAGAUCACCGUCCUGACCCCCAGGAGCACACUCACCCAUGGGGUCAGGCUGCUAUUAGAAAUUCCUUCCAGAGAUGCCAGGUGAGAGGGAGGCAGGCAGACAGACAUCUGUGGGGGUCACAUUCACCCCAGACAGUUCAUUGCCGGAAGGAAGCCACAUGCCUCACGUCGAAGCUCAUCUGAUUGGAGUCAGACACAGCCAGAUACAGUCAUGAUUGUGUCCAGAGGCCCACGGGGGCUGGCGGGGCCCUUCACGACAGCUGCUACGGCACAGCCCAUCUGGAAGGGCUCUUUUUGUUCAACGCUUUAACCCUCUGAGGACCCUCGGGACCAAGGGAUGCCACACCCUGGGCCUGGACCCUCUCUCCACCUGGAGCCCCUCUCCUUCCUGCCUCCCUCUGAUUCAUGCCCGGUGGGUAGGAGUCCUACUUCCUCUCCUCUUCCCUGAACACAGUAACAGUGGGUGUGCUCCUGAAGGUGACGUGAGGGCAACAAGACUGACUGACCUUCCUCGUCCACCUA